CCUACGGGUGGCAGCAGUAGGGAAUCUUCCACAAUGGGCGAAAGCCUGAUGGAGCAACGCCGCGUGGGUGAAGAAGGUCUUCGGAUCGUAAAACCCUGUUGUUAGAGAAGAAAGUGCGUGAGAGUAACUGUUCACGUUUCGACGGUAUCUACCCAGAAAGCCACGGCUAAUUACGUGCCAGCAGCCGCGGUAAGACGUAGGUGGCAAGCGUUAUCCGGUUUUAUUGGGAGUAAGGGAAACGUAGGUGGUCUUUUAAGUCUGAUGUGAAAGCCUUCGGCUUAACCGGAGUAUUGCAUUGGAAACUGGGAGACUUGAGUACAGAAGAGGGGAGUGGAACUCCAGGUGUAGCGGUGAAAUGCGUAGAUAUAUGGAAGAACACCAGUGGCGAAAGCGGCUCUCUGGACUGUAACUGACGCUGAGGUUCGAAAGCGUGGGUAGCAAACAGGAUUAGAUACCCGUGUAGUC
rnacentral:rRNA from 1 species